CGGGGCGUAGCGCAGUCCGGUAGCGCGUCUGGUUUGGGACCAGAAGGUCCCGGGUUCGAAUCCCGGCGCCCCGA
rnacentral:tRNA from 2 species